CAUCUUUAUCUGGAUCUCAGAACUCUGCAGAUUGGAGCUGCAAAAAGCAGAGCUAUGCUCUUGAGCUCCCUCCCUGGAUAGGUGGUCCUGGGAGGCCUGCCCCGGUGUCUGCUCCUGGAAGGCAGACACUGCUCAUCCACCUGACUCCCACUCUGAUCCUUUUGCAGGAAAACACGUGGUGCAAGCACAGAAGCUGGCGGACGUGGACAGUGAGCUGGCCGCCGUGCUACUGACCCAUGCCCGGCAGGGCAAGGGGCCCCAGGACAUCGGCUGUGAGUCGGAUGCCACCCGCAGGCGUAAGCUGGAGCGGAUGAGGUCUGUGCGCCUGAAGGAGGCUGGGGGAGAGUUGAGCCAGCGCGGGACGAGCGUGUUGGUGCAGCAGAGCGUUCGCACACAGCACUUGCGGGACCUACAGGUCAUCGCCGCCUACCGAGAGCGCACAAAGGCUGAAAGCAUCGCCAGCCUGCUGAGCCUGGCCAUCACCACAGAGCACACACUCCACGCCACGCUGGGGGUCGCUGAGUUCUUCGAGUUUGUGCUUAAGAACCCCCACAACACACAGCACACAG
rnacentral:sRNA from 1 species